UACGGGGGGGGCAAGCGUUGUUCGGAAUUACUGGGCGUAAAGGGCUCGUAGGCGGCCAACUAAGUCGGACGUGAAAUCCCCUGGCUCAACCAGGGAACUGCGUCCGAUACUGGAUGGCUUGAAUCCGGGAGAGGGAUGUGGAAUUCCAGGUGUAGCGGUGAAAUGCGUAGAUAUCUGGAGGAACACCGGUGGCGAAGGCGGCAUCCUGGACCGGUAUUGACGCUGAGGCGCGAAAGCCAGGGGAGCAAACGGG
rnacentral:rRNA from 1 species